rnacentral:rRNA from 1 species
AUUGAACGCUGGCGGCAUGCUUUACACAUGCAAGUCGAACGGCAGCGCGGGCUUCGGCCUGGCGGCGAGUGGCGAACGGGUGAGUAAUACAUCGGAACGUGCCCAGUAGUGGGGGAUAGCUCGGCGAAAGCCGGAUUAAUACCGCAUACGACCUGAGGGUGAAAGCGGGGGAUCUUCGGACCUCGCGCUAUUGGAGCGGCCGAUGGCAGAUUAGCUAGUUGGUGGGGUAAAGGCCUACCAAGGCGACGAUCUGUAGCUGGUCUGAGAGGACGACCAGCCACACUGGGACUGAGACACGGCCCCGACUCCUACGGGAGGCAGCAGUGGGGAAUUUUGGACAAUGGGCGAAAGCCUGAUCCAGCAAUGCCGCGUGUGUGAUGAAGGCCUUCGGGUUGUAAAGCACUUUUGGCGGGAACGAAAAGGAAUGUGCCAAUACCACGGUUCGAUGACGGUACCCGCAGAAUAAGCACCGGCUAACUACGUG